rnacentral:lncRNA from 1 species
CUUGUUUAAUCUCGUGGUUAGGCUGAUGCUGAUCUUUGUGGUUUUUGUUGCUGUCAUGUAGUUUGGGGUAAGCGGAUGUUUGCAGAAGCUCACGGCAGGGAAAGCUUCAGUCAUGUGCAGAGGAGGGUUCGGCGUCACCGCACUAUCUUCACAGAAGAGCAGCUGGACGCUCUGGAGGAUCUGUUCAGACAGAACCAGUAUCCAGACAUCCACACCCGCGAGCAGCUGGCCCAGAGAACACACCUGCGCGAGGAGAGAGUCGAGGUGUGGUUUAAGAACCGAAGGGCAAAAUGGCGACGACAGAAGCGGCUUCCGUUCAGCCUACGAGGACCAGACGACUGGAAUACUGUACUUCAUAGCGACUGACAUGAACAAUGAUGAUAUCAGGAUCAUAUCUGUCUGCUGCGUGGAGAUAUUAAACUCAUUCCUCUGCUGAAAACAUCAUAUCUGUCUGCUGCGUGGAGAUAUUAAACUCAUUCCUCUGCUGAAAACAGAUCACAGAUGAGAAGUGCUGAGUGUCACUAGCUCUUCAUUUAUCAUCUGACAUCAUUUGUUUCAUAUUUUACUAAUAUUUGUACUUUACAUUAUACUUUUUGUCAUUUUUCAUGUUUUAUAUAAAUUUUCACACAAGUGAUUUUGUCAAUAUUUAUGAAUUUUCAGUGCAACACAUGCCUUAACACAUUCUAACUAUGAAACCGAAAAAGCAUAAAAGCAUUUUGGAUAAAAGCGUCUUCUAAAUGACUUAAUGUAAAACUCUCACUGACACAUAAUCAAUUAAAUAACAUUUUAGACGAUAUUGAAUCUCAUACAGCAAAGUUAAUUCUUUUUCUUCAAAAGUCAUGGAUGAAAUUGAACUCUAAAUGCUCAUGUAACAUUAUGACAUUUUUAAUGCUGACAAUAAUAAUUUAAUAAUAUAACAUACUUAAAUUGUUAAUCGAAUAUGGAAGCAUUCUUACAGGAGCAUGACUGUUCAUAUUUGGAAAAGCAGCAGGCUUACAAACGUGAUAUAGCUUUUGUAUAACUGAUUAAUAAACAAUAUGCCACACUAUUCGUUCCUGAAUGACUCGGUGAAUGAAUCGGUUGAGCGAAUGAGUCAAUGACUCGUUCAUUAGGAGCGAAUCGGUGCUGUUGAACGAAUCGGUUGAAUGAAUGAUUCAAACUGGCUUAUAAUACAGUCACUUGUCGCCACCUAUUGGUGUAACUGUGUAGUAGCUAUAGAGGCAGAGCUGGGUAGUGACUGAUUACAUUUGCAGAUUCUGAAAAUGAAGUACUUGUAAUUAGAUUAAACUACAUUUUAAAAUACUUGUAAUCAGAGUACUUUUUUUAUUGAUUACUUGAUUACAUAUAUUCACACAACAGCAAUAAAUUAUUCUUAAUUAUUAUCCCUAAUUAUCAUUCAUAUAUUUUUAUAGUAAAAUUA